rnacentral:rRNA from 1 species
UACGAAGGGAGCUAGCGUUGUUCGGAAUCACUGGGCGUAAAGCGCACGUAGGCGGAUUUGCCAGUCAGGGGUGAAAUCCCUCGGCUCAACUGAGGAACUGCACGGGAUACUGCGAGACUUGAGUUCGGGAGAGGGAAGCGGAAUUCCGGGUGUAGCGGUGAAAUGCGUAGAUAUCCGGAGGAACACCGGUGGCGAAGGCGGCUUCCUGGACCGAUUACUGACGCUGAGGAGCGAAAGCAUGGGGAGCGAACAGG